CUGGGGUGUGUUUUUAUAUGGGCUACUGGGUGUAUUUAUAUGGUUGACUGGGUGUAUAUGGGCUGACUGGGUGUUUUUAUAUGGGUUGACUGGGUGUAUAUGGGUUGACUGGGUGUAUAUGGGCUGACUGGGUGUAUAUGGGCUGACUGGGUG
rnacentral:lncRNA from 1 species